GCUACUUCAGAAGGACUUGUCUUGUAAACUUGAGGAAAAUUAUGGGAAAAUUCGAGAAACCAUUUAAAAAGAUAUAUUUGAAUAAAAACUGAAGCUUUUAGGAAUGCAUUGUUUUGUCAGAGAAAAGAAUUCAUAGUGUAUUAUGAUCUGUCUUUGAUACAAAGGAAAAUUAAGCAAAAAACUAGCAGUUAAAAAUGGAAGCAAACUAGUAUAUGCUAGGGGGGAAAAAAAGAAAAAAAAAAAGUGGAAAAAAAACCCCAACCCAUAUAAAUAAUAAAUUGUAAAGUGAAGACAGAUGAUAAUAUAUAAUUUACUGAAGGCACUCAAAAAAAAUCUUGAUGGGAGAGAAAUGAUGUGUUUGGACGGUGGGCUGAGUGUACCAGAAAUGUGGGACUCCUAACGCUGUUUCUUAUUGCUGCUUUAAUUGCAGUCUUCCUCUGAAGAGAUAGUGAUGCAGAAAUAGAAAUGUUCAAUUUAAACUUUUAUUCUGUAUUUUGAAAAAUCAUGAUUAAAACUUUUUAUUAUGAAAAGUAAAAGGCAAGUGAAAAGACACUGGAAUCCAUCUAUUAGGUAUACAUAUUUUAAAAUCAACAUUCUUGUUGUCCGCACAGUAAGGAAUUUCUUCUAAUCUACCCUCUUCCAGUUUAAAACCACUUACCGUCAUCACUACAUGCCCUUCUAAAAAGUCCCUCCCCAGCUUUCCUGUAGGCCCCCUUUAAUUGCUGGAAGGAUACCUACUAAAUAGUUUGGAAGAACAGCUGUUAGUAUGGGCACGUGAAGGUAAAUGGAGUAAACUAUGUGAGAGUGAGUGGAUGGACAGGUGAGAGAAACAGAGCAAAAACUGAUUUGACACUGUCAGAGGUUUCUCUGUGUCACUGUGACCUUGGGUACGUCUACUUGUGAUGAUUCUGCACCGAAUACUACAAGGAACCAGCAUCCAACAGAUGGAGUGACAGAACAGGGUGCUACAAGCAGGAACCCAUGCUUUCUGAACCUGUGUGUGAACCAUGACUAUUUUCUGCAUAGCGGGUGCUAUGCUUCCUGCAUAGCAGGAAACAGGACGAGGCUUGGAACCACACAGAGCUGGACCACAAGUGUCUCAAGAGGAGGAAUAAGCAAGUAGGGGAGCCUGGGCACACGGUAGUGGACAUAUGCUUGUAACUCCCAUGACCUAUGAGAGUAUCUGAGUGAUAUUAUUUCAGGGAGUUUACUGCGUAGGGAUGCAUAGGUGUUUUUAGGGAGACAUUAUCAUUUUUAAAGUGUUUUGAAUGAUGCUUGUUCUGUUGUAUUUCUGAUCCUGAGCCAUUAUUAACUACUGGUUAAUAAUAUUAAUUAAUCAGUAAAUAGUUUUGAGAAUGAUGUGAUUUAGAUCACAUAGAUUGAAAAUAUUUUCCUUGAAACAGUUAUUGACAACAUGAUAAAUGACAGUUAUGCAGAGUAAUAUGGAUAUGAGAUGUUAUGUGUAAGAAUUACAGGUACAGAUGAAUGAGGGUCAUGCGUCUAUAAAAAUAAUUCAGGGAAGGAUUUGAGAUUAUAAAAGGCAAGCAAUUCCACAUGAGCUCCCACAAGAAAACUGUGUUUAAAAAGGCUAUGUUAUGCCAUUGUAUUAGUAAGAGAAACAGAGUAAUGAUUUCAACAGAAAAAUUGGACAUGUGCACAUUUCAGUUUGUAAACAUCUUGAAAAUUGUGUUGAAAAGAGACACAAAUACUUAAUGCUGAAGAAAAAGGAUGUAGAUGUUUAAAAGUUUUCCAAUAGUAAAUAAAAUAAUAAGAAGCAAUAGCUAGAAGCUUUAAUCUCAUAAAUUCAGAUUAGAAAACAAGAAUAGAUUAGUAGUUCUGAAAAUAAUUCACCAUUCUAAAAAGCUUCUUGGAUUUCAUGUCCUUAGAUUGACUAUCUGUUGAAAAGUGUUGUAACAUGAAGUAUGCAUUUCUGAGUUUGCUGUAUUUGAGAAGGCAGACUAGCUGUUUCUGAGGUCCCUGUAACCUGAGCCCAUGAUUCUGCAUAUAGAAGGAAAGCAGCCUGAGCAUUCAUAACCAAACUUCCAGUCCUGUCAUUAACUAAUAUGUCCACUUUUCAAUGUACAGAAGAGCCCACUCCAUCAUUCCCUUUGUACUGAUAUUGCUAGCAAAAGGCCCAAGUUUUUGAGCGAAGAGCUUCUCUGUGGAAGUAUCCUGACUUAAGCUCAGUAUUUCAGACUUCUAUCUGUUUAUAUUGGAAAGAAGUAUAUCUUUUGAUAUUUCUUAAUUUGUCAAAUCCGAGAUGUUUUAUGGAGAUUUAUUUUGACAACUGUGCUGGGGGUGAACAAGUACUCAUCGUAUGUGUUUAUCUGUUCAUUCAUUAACCCAUUGGUUAGGUUAUUGCUGCGAGUAAACUUCUACCUCCUUCAUAGUUCCCAUGACAAGCUGAAGAAGAGAGGAAAGAUUUGCAAGCUUUAGGUUUUGUAUAUCUGAAAUACUGACCCUUCAACAUGAGCCUCCAACCCAAAGUCCAUUUGUUUAAGCCAAAAUCAAAGACAAACAAAAUGUAUGGGUUCAGAGCUGCUCUUUAGCUGAGGCUUCUGUAAAUGAAUCCAGAUAGGAAUUCUUAUCAUAUCAUUCUGUGAUACAUCACCAGUAACAAUGUGCAAAGGUCUGCAGGGGUUGUCAGUGUUUUAAUUAGCAUUUUGAAAAUUCAGACUUUAGUCUUCGCUCAUUUUUCUGCAUGUAUGUAGCGUGGUCAUGGAUCUUCUCGAAAAGUGGUCACAUGUCCCUUACUGCUCUCACAAAAGCCAGUAAUUUCCCUACUAUUAAAUACUACAAAAUUGACCUAUAAAAUCAAAAUUACAAAAUUUUCUUAUAAAGUUUUAAUUUGUACUCUCUACUCCUCCAGGAUUUUGUAAUUUCAUGAGGCACUCUUUUCUUACGUAACAUUCAUUUUCUUGCUCUUGGUUUAUGCAAUACUUACUUAUUUGAUUUUAAACUGAAUAAUAAAUUAUUUAAAUAUAGUUCAAAUUUUGCGUCAUUGUGCCAGUAAUUUAUUACAAUAAUUGACUGUUUGGGACUUGGAAGAAAAAGAAUAAGUCUAGCAAACAUCUGAGAUGUUUCUUCUUCUCUUUCUCCCUAAAUUCCCUUCUGCGAGGUUCUUUUCAAACCAUACGCUUAACGUGGAACCAACCAAAAGUCUGCAGGGGCCAAUACCUAUUCAGUUUGCAUGCUAGGGAAACUAUGUCUAGGCUGUUCCUCAUUCCCUAACUAGAGUUUUUUUUCUGGAUGUUAUCUAUCAAUAACUCAUCCACUUCCAAGGUCUCCAAAGUUCAGAGGAUCUUUUUCUUGUGAAAACCUUCUAAAGAAAUAGUUCAUAUCAAAUUUUUGAGUGAACAUGGCAAUUAGGAGAGGUGUUUGAGGGCUGGUGAAGAGCCAGCAGUUGCCUUUUUAUGAGCAUUUCUAUAGCUCUUCUAAGUAAAAAGUUAAAAUCUUGUAAGAUAUGGUGCUGUUCUUGCCUUCUGUUCCAUGCAGGUGGAUCUGUGGAACAUAAUGAAACCUCACUGAAAUGUAGGGAAUCCUAUAUUGAAGGAAAAAUGUAU
rnacentral:lncRNA from 1 species